CCUGCUGUUUGCUUUUACUUUCGGGUUUAGUGAAUCAUCUCCUUGUCUGCAGCCUGUGGCUUCCCUGCCGUGCUGCUUGAACAGAAGAGCUCGCGUUGCUGGGCUUGGCCCAGAUGCAAAAGCAGCAGCGAUGGCUCCCGAUCUGACCAGCAAAACAUCAGGAGACGUGACUUGAGCCAGCACCCUUCGUUCCUAGGGGACGUCCUGUUCAAAGAACCAGCAUGUGCAGUGGAGACCAGCUGACAGACUCCAACAUCCUCCGUAAUCUUCAAUGAGAGCUGGCUAGUGCCCCAGAGGAAACAUCUAGUGUGGGAGGCCAGUCGCUGCCGUCCCUAAAGACUUUCUCAUACAGUGUCUGGGCCCUAGUCAUUCUGAAGGAUGUCCUGGCUCUGCCUCUAUGGCCCUGCCUGGUUUUGUAGCUCUGGCCUGUAUCGUGUGCUCCCUGCUCCCAUAGGGCAUUUGACAUUUGCUGACAUGAGUGUUUGAAGGAAAAAGGAUGGGUGGUGGUGGAAGGGGACCUCCCUGUGCCUUCACAUGGCGUUCUGCUCAGCCAGAUAGCCCUAAUCUGAUGGGGACAGCCCUGUUGUGAGGAGUCACCUCAGGCUGUGCUGCUACAGCUGCUGUCAGGACAGCCAUGGGAACUGGAUUCUCAGUAUGAGCUGGGGCUAGCAGCAGCGUCCUCUGUGCAGGGCCACUUGAGCUACAGAUCAAGCUCUUCCUCCUAGGGGAGUCCUGGUUCAUGGGCCUUGAGUGUGGUGCCAGGUCUGGGAGUUGGGUGCAAGUCCUGUUGGCUGUCAGGGUGGGCUGCUGUGUACCUUGGUCAUGUUGGUGUAAGGAUGGGCCUCGCCUUGGGCGUUUGUCCCCUCUGAUUCUGUACAAAUACCAAUAAACAAGUAAAGCCUG